UUGAAAAAAGGAAGUCAAUUACUCAAGUAUAGCCGCAAAGGAAGGCCAAAGUUUCGCUCAUUCAGGCUUGCGCCGGAUGAAUCGACAUUGUUUUGGCUCUCACACGGAGAAGAAAAAGGUUUGAAGUUAUCUACAGUUUCGCGAAUUCUCCCUGGACAAAGAACUGCUGUUUUUCGGAGAUAUCUACGCCCAGAAAAGGAUUACUUGUCAUUUUCUCUCAUAUAUCACAACGGAGAUAGAUCUCUUGAUCUGGUU